AUGAACGCUGGCGGCGUGCUUAACCCCUGCAAGUCGAACGAAGCACUUUAUUUGAUUCCCUUCGGGACUGAUUAUUUUGUGACUGAGUGGCGGACGGGUGAGUAACGCGUGGGUAACCUGCCUUGUACAGGGGGAUAACAGUUGGAAACGGCUGCUAAUACCGCAUAAGCGCACAGCAUCGCAUGAUGCAGUGUGAAAAACUCCGGUGGUAUAAGAUGGACCCGCGUUGGAUUAGCUAGUUGGUGAGGUAACGGCCCACCAAGGCGACGAUCCAUAGCCGACCUGAGAGGGUGACCGGCCACAUUGGGACUGAGACACGGCCCAAACUCCUACGGGAGGCAGCAGUGGGGAAUAUUGCACAAUGGGCGAAAGCCUGAUGCAGCGACGCCGCGUGAGCGAAGAAGUAUUUCGGUAUGUAAAGCUCUAUCAGCAGGGAAGAUAAUGACGGUACCUGACUAAGAAGCACCGGCUAAAUACGUG
rnacentral:rRNA from 1 species